rnacentral:ribozyme from 1 species
AUGUUUUUCUCUUUUCUUUUUUCUUUUUUUUUUUCG